rnacentral:rRNA from 1 species
UACAGAGGUCUCGAGCGUUGUUCGGAUUCAUUGGGCGUAAAGAGCGCGCAGGCGGUUGUUUAAGUCGAAUGUGAAAGCCCCCGGCUCAACUGGGGAGGGUCAUUCGAUACUGAUCGACUUGAAGGCAGGAGAGGGAAGUGGAAUUCCGGGUGUAGUGGUGAAAUGCGUAGAUAUCCGGAGGAACACCAGUGGCGAAGGCGACUUCCUGGCCUGUUCUUGACGCUGAGGAGCGAAAGCGUGGGGAGCGAACGAGGA